rnacentral:rRNA from 1 species
AUGGUUGGAGAGGAGGUAGCAGGAUCUACUCAAACACUAUAGUGGAAGUGUGUUGAAUCAAGAGUAGAUAGUAAGCGCCUUUAUUAUGAUCGUUUCAUUCUGUUCCCGCUUAGAAAAGGUGGGGGCAAAUAG